CCUAACUCCACCCUCAGGGCUUUUAUACCUCGCUAGCAGCAUUCAAACCAAUCCUGAAAACCUUUGAUUGCUUUGCUUUGAGUAAAGUAUAACCAAAUACCUCAGAGGAAGUUUGAGAAGGAGCGCUCGACGAGAAUAUAACUUUAACAUCUUUAAUCAUUCACAAACAAGGAAAGGCAUCAUUCAGCCCACAAUCCUUUACCCCACAAUGGCUAGUCAUGGUACUAAAAGAAAGCGUAGUAAUGAACAAUCUGGUUCAAGUGCAAAGUGUCCUGAAAGCAGUUCGCAGGACCUCAGAACAGGCAAGUAUAUUCUUCCUCUCUGUAGAAUAGAACCAGUUUAAUUGUAUAUAAAAAUGUAUAAGAUAACUACAGCAAAACAGCAUAUUAAUGGAUGUUAGUGUGGACCAGAGCCACAAAACUAAAAGUAUCUUAUAAUUUCCUGAUUUAGGAGAGUCUUAAGAGAGUGAAAGUGUUAGUCCUAUUUCGGACUCCUAAUUUUAAAAGUAUUAAAAUUAAGAGACUCCUAAGAGUAUUUCACAAUUGUUUUAGCACUAAAACUAGCUCCUAAAUCUGUGAAACAUUAGGAGAACUGAAGAGGA